GCCGCCCGCCUCCCGCAGCAGCCCGCCGCUCCCCGCGCCGCUCCCCUCGCCCGCGCCGCCCUUCGGGCUCCCGCACGCGGCGGCGGCGGCCCCUUCCGCGCCGCCGGCCGAGGAUAAUCCCGACGACGAGGAACAAUAUAGUCACCUACUGAAAGCGAGUGUGAAUGGUCAGAAUGGAAGAAGGACCACUUCCUCACUCCCACCAAAGAGGACCCCGCGGUUUUUCUUCCUCUCUGCCGGCAACUCUUUCAUCUUUCUUCUGCCAACAGCAUAAUUGUAUAGCACCAACAAUAAGCUGCAGUUAUUGAAG